rnacentral:tRNA from 1 species
GGAGAGAUGGCUCAGCAGUUAAGAGCACUGGCUGCUAUUCCAGAGGACCUGGGUUCAAUUCCUAGCACCC